rnacentral:misc_RNA from 1 species
GACGGAGGGUGCAAGCGUUACUCGGAAUUACUGGGCGUAAAGGGUCCGUAGGCGGUCUGGAAAGUUGGAUGUGAAAGCCCACAGCUCAACUGUGGAAUUGCGUCCAAAACUAUCAGGCUCGAGGAUGGUAGGGGACAGUGGAACUCCAGGUGGAGCGGUGAAAUGCGUAGAGAUCUGGAGGAACGCCGGUGGCGAAAGCGACUGUCUGGGCCAUUCCUGACGCUGAGGGACGAAAGCUAGGGGAGCGAACGGG